rnacentral:rRNA from 1 species
GCAAGUCGAACGGUAGAGGGGGCAACCCUUGAGAGUGGCGAACGGGUGAGUAAUAUAUCGGAACGUGCCCAGUCGUGGGGAUAACGUAGCGAAAGUUACGCUAAUACCGCAUACGAUCUAAGGAUGAAANCGGGGGAUCGCAAGACCUCGCGCGAUUGGAGCGGCCGAUAUCAGAUUAGGUAGUUGGUGAGGUAAAGGCUCACCAAGCCAACGAUCUGUAGCUGGUCUGAGAGGACGACCAGCCACACUGGAACUGAGACACGGUCCCAGACUCCUACGGGAGGCAGCAGUGGGGAAUUUUGGACAAUGGACGCAAGUCUGAUCCAGCCAUUCCGCGUGCAGGAUGAAGGCCCUCGGGUUGUAAACUGCUUUUGUACGGAACGAAAAGGUUUCUAUUAAUACUAGGAGCUCAUGACGGUACCGUAAGAAUAAGCACCGGCUAACUACGUG